GACAAACGCUGGCGGCGUACCUAAGACAUGCAAGUCGAACGGGGACUGUCGCUUCGGCGAGAGCUCCUAGUGGCGAACGGGUGAGUAACACGUAGGAACCUGACGCACAGUGGGGGAUAACAGGGGGAAACCGCUGCUAAUACCGCAUGUGGUCACAGGUCGAGAGAUCUGUGAAGAAAGGCGCAAGUCGCUGUGUGAGGGGCCUGCGGCCGAUUAGCUAGUUGGUGGGGUAACGGCGCACCAAGGCGACGAUCGGUAGCUGGUCUGAGAGGAUGGU
rnacentral:rRNA from 1 species